rnacentral:rRNA from 1 species
UCGACCUGAGCUCAGGCAAGAUUACCCGCUGAACU